CCCGACAUAACCCGCGCUCCUUGUCUUCUCCAGUCGUCUUCCCGUGGUCCUGGCACAGCCACGUAGCUCCACCUGAGCUCCCUUGUUCAGCUCCAGCGUGCAACUACCCUGCUCUCCCGCGCGUCCUCCGCCGCCUCCGUAGCUUCCUCCUCCGCCGCUCCCUCCCGCCUCACGAAGCUCCCUUCCCCCACUCGCCUGCCUCCAUAGCCUCCUUUCACCCUAAAAAUCCAUUUUUCUUCCUCUGUGGGCUACUACGGCGUACUUCGGCUCUGGUGAGGCUCCGAUCCAGCACACAGCUCGCUCGCGCGCCGGGAUGCGACGUCAUGGAGGACGCCACUCCCCCCCUACUCUACUCCGUGCCCCCGAUGCCAUGGAGGACGCCGCUCCACCGCUGCUCCAUCCUGAAGGCACUCCACCCCUGCUCCAGCCUGAAGGUGCUCCAUCUCUGAAUGUUUAAUGCUCCUACUGCAUCAAUUUGCUACUCCAUGGACUAUUUUAGAAUUUUAAACCGAGUUUUUUAAUUUCCGUUCGGUACUAUGGUCUCUCUGUUUUGUCAAUCUGCUGUAAUCAUUUAUUCUGUGGAGUUCGUCAGUUUUAAACAAAAUGAUUAUUAGUGCAUCCAGGAAUAAUUUAAGUUA